rnacentral:tRNA from 1 species
CGCGCGGUAGAGCAGUAGGUAGCUCGUUGGGCUCAUAACCCAAAGGUCGCAGGUUCGAGUCCUGCCCGCGCUACUA